GACGAACGCUGGCGGCGUGCUUAACACAUGCAAGUCUACGAGAAUAAGGUAGCAAUAUCUUUAGUAACGUGGCGCACGGGUGAGUAACACGUAAGUAACCUACCUUUAGAUUUGGAAUAACCCCGAGAAAUCGGGGCUAAUACCGAAUGAUGCAGCGGCACCACAUGGUGAAGUUGUUAAAGUCUAUAUGACGUCUAAAGAUGGGCUUGCGUCUGAUUAGCUAGUUGGUGAGGUAACGGCCCACCAAGGCUUCGAUCAGUAGCUGGUCUGAGAGGAUGAUCAGCCACACUGGAACUGAGACACGGUCCAGACUCCUACGGGAGGCAGCAGUGAGGAAUAUUGGGCAAUGCCCGGAAGGGUGACCCAGCAACGCCGCGUGGAGGAUGAAUGUCGUAAGAUUGUAAACUCCUGUUAGAGGGGAAGAAUAAUUCCGAUCGACUCGGAAAUUGACUGUACCCUCAGAGAAAGCCCCGGCUAACUACGUGCCAGCAGCCGCAGUAAUAC
rnacentral:rRNA from 1 species